UACGUAGGGUGCAAGCGUUAAUCGGAAUUACUGGGCGUAAAGCGUGCGCAGGCGGUAAUGUAAGACAGUUGUGAAAUCCCCGGGCUCAACCUGGGAACUGCAUCUGAGACUGCAUUGCUGGAGUACGGCAGAGGGGGAUGGAAUUCCGCGUGUAGCAGUGAAAUGCGUAGAUAUGCGGAGGAACACCGAUGGCGAAGGCAAUCCCCUGGACCUGUACUGACGCUCAUGCACGAAAGCGUGGGGAGCAAACAGG
rnacentral:rRNA from 1 species